UGGCUUUACAUGUGAAAUCUAAUGAGUUUAAUCAAAGAGAACUUUCAGAUUAUCUUACACAGGAAAAUGAGGAACCUGAUGUUGGUGGCUGUGAUCCUUCAGCUGGUGAUCACUGUAGAUAUUUAUGGAUUCCAGUUUGGAGAUAUCAUUGCUUUCAAAACUAGGUGUGCUGUCGGAAACAUGUUUACAUACAAGCACUUUGCUGUUAUGUGGGCAACGAAACACUUCCUGGUAAAAAACCUGGGGAGGACAUAUUUGAACGCCUAAGUAAGUACACAACCUGAAAAACAGCCAAUUUAAACAUUUUCCAAUCUCACAGUGAGAGAAACAAUAAAACAAAUAUCAGUUUGAAUGAAAGUACUUCAUCUUUACUGUACAGUGUAUUGAAGGAGCUUUUAUCACGAUUUGCUCGGACCAGCUCCCCCCACAACCUGGUCGUAUUGCACAAAAGUAGAAUUAAGAAAUCCAGGAUAAUAGAGCAAGCGCGGCUUGACUUAGCCUGCUCGGCGCAUCCUGGCUUAAUCGGUUGCACGUUUGCCGAGCCAGGAUUAAAAGAUGCGGCUAUGUCAAGCCAGGUGUAGAUAGUUGGGAUAAGUGCGUGUUCACGGCAUACUGAACUAGACCUCGCGAUCGCUCACAGAAUCACUGACAGGAACAUGGAUAAGAGUCGCGCUUCAUAUUUCACGGCCGCUGAACAACAGCUCCUGAUGGAGUUCUAUGAAGAGGUGAAAGAUAUAAGAAAAAAAGGCAAUACCAAUACCAUAAUUAAAGAAAGAGAGAAAGCCUGGCAGACAAUAGCGGACCGGCUUAAUGCUUAAGUAGUCCAAAACUAUACAAUUAAUAAACGGUGCUCCACUGGAACUGUCAUAAUUAGGCUCCAAUUAAAGGUCUAAAGGAGUUACUUUAAGUCCACUAAUCAACUGUUGUACACUUUGCUUUAAAUGUGGCAAGUACAGGUGCAUGUUCGCUCAGGAAAUGUAGAGUAUGAUUAAGUCAAACAAUUCAUAGAAGAAUUCAUAGAAGAACAAACUUGUCUGGCCAUAAAAAGACCCGGCAGCAAGUUACAUUAAAAAUGUUAAAACAGUUAAAUACAACAACAUUUAGCAGCUGGAAAGUGACUUUAAAGUAGAUAACAGUGAACAAAUGAGCUGAAUAGAUUAGGUGUCUGCUGACAUGUUGAAUGUCUGUAUGAUUGUGGCAGUUAAAAAAAAGCCCACAGAACUGGCACAGGAAGCGGCCCACCAAGCCAGGAUAUGUGCGGCAAAUGGUUCCUUUAUUGAGGUUCUCUGCAUCCCCAACAGAAUAAAGGAAGCUCCCACUUGCAAAACAUCUCAAUGUACCACAGACCAGUGAGAGCAUGGCUUCCUGCCAUCUGGUGCUGUAUUUUUGGAUCCAGCAGCCUACAUAAAUAUCUUAGUCCAUCACCUGAGAAUCUGUAUCUCUCAAUGAGAUAGUCAUCUCCAACGGCCAAUGGGUCUGACCUGUCCCGGAAGACUCUUUCAUGCCUAAAUGCUUGCCUGAGGAUUAGGGCUUCCUCAUCGAGUACAUCCUCCAAGAAAGGGCAAGCCAUUAUGAAGAGGGAACAGCUGAAUGGGAGUUAGAUAGAUAGAUAGAUAGAUAGAUUGAUUGAUAGAUUGAUAGAUAGAUAGAUUUUCCUUUAUUUGUCCCACAAUUGGGAAAUUCCAAUGUAACAGCAACAAAGUGGAUAGAGAGAAAACAGUAUAAAUAAACAGUAAGAGUAGGGAAAUAAUAAAAAACACUAUGCACUAGAUGUAUAUAUAUACACAUAUAUAUGUAUAUAUAUUGCCCUUGUCACAGAUUUCAUUGAAAAUAAAACACAUAUUUAUGAAACCUCUGACAGCAUUUUGACAAGCAGUCUUAAUUAGCAUAUCAAUAUAACACCUGUCCUGAGUAAUAAUACUACCACUUGAAUCAAUAUAAAAAGACUGUUGCAAUUACAAACAGCCAACAGAUUUAAAUGAAAUGAGAAAUGACAAUAUAUAUGUAAUAUUUUAAUGCAGGAUAAUUAAAAUGAUGCAACAUACUUAGAAAGACCAUGGGCAUGCUGUAAAACACAUUAAUUCCUCACAGGACUGACUGUGGAAAUACAGGUGAAUCACUAGGAUUAAUCUUAGCCUGGCUGUUAGUCUGGUCUGGAGCAGGCUAACUGCAGAGAAUAAAUCACCAUAGUAACUUAGCUGGGAUAAGUUUAUCCUGCUUUCAUGCAACCGACUUGAGGCUAAAUUCAGACACGAUAACCAACAUAUCCCGGCUUAAUCCCUUAUCUUGGUUUUGUGCAAUAGCCCUCUGUUGGAAUAAUGAGGGGAUAUUCAUUCACUUAAACACUGACUGAGAAACACUUGUGCAGAUUAGCAGGAGUUUAGCAUGUUUGUGUUUUAGCCUGACAGUCCAGAAACCUUUGCUGUUUGAAUAAAGUUGCAUCUUUGUAGAGCAGGAAAAUUCCAGUUUAUUUUGGAUACAAAUAACCACAGAAAGAGAGAAAGGAAAGUGGCAGGAAUCAUUUUAAUCUUAAUUGGUUCAAUAAUUUGGUUUAUGAUCAAAUACCUACAAAACUAAUGACAUUCCCAUCAACCUCAGCUGAACUUUGAGUUUAGUGCUGAUUAGCAAAUGGUAGCAUGCUUACAUGCUAAACUAAGAUGUGAACAUGAAAGACAUUAUAUCUGUUAAACAUCAACAUAUUAGCAUUUUCACUGUGUGGACUCCUUGAACUUUAUUCAGAGAAGAGCAAGAGAAUGAGAGAAAGAAUUAAACAUUUACUGUAAAUGCUCACAUACAGUAACAUUACCUGUAACAGUUUAUUUCCUGGUUAUAGAGGGGUUUCCUCCCAAAU
rnacentral:lncRNA from 15 species